rnacentral:lncRNA from 1 species
AUGACCUUUGAAAUCGACUGUUUUUGUCUCCUCGAGAGCACUGCAUUGAUAAUGAUUCAGAGUUCUCCCGAAUCAUCGUAUCCCUCAUUGAACAGUUCACUAUUGAAGAGGUUUCUGCUUUGGUAUUUAUUAACGUCUUCUAGCAGUUCAAAGAGCUUUACAGACAUCGUCACACCCUUCUCAGAACUACCAAAUAACAGCAAGUUGUACUUUUAUUGUCAAAUAUGGGGAUGAAAACACAGGUUACGUUGUUGGAUAAUUGCAGAGAAUGAGGCAUCAAGGAAGCCAAGAGUGGAUCAGGAAGGAGGUCAAUAGGGUGGAAAUCUGCUGAGCCAUUCUAGAAGGCAAGAACUGCAAACCACUCUCCUGACUGAGUAACAGGAUGCUGAGGGUAAAACAGGAAUAAAGCAGUCACUGCACACAAGGAUCUGCCUAAAACAGAGAGAUACGAUAAUUAGAGACUAAUCACAAACUACAAUAUGUACGAGGCCAGAAAGUAUCACAGGGAUGCAAUAUCAUGUAAAUGUGGAUUUGUUGGUAGUACUUAUUGUAGCACAUUUGUAAGACUUCAGUGAGAAAUAUAGAUUCCAAAAGAAGGCAGAUGGGCGCUUCACCAGAUAAAAUCAAGGCUGGAUGAAGAGUUAGAAAAAAAAGACUCAAUCUUGGGGAUUUUUCUUUUUAUAACCACUUAAAGCAGUUAAAACUGUAAGAUUAAUCAUCUUUGUUUAUGAAAAAUCACUUGAAGAAUAUGUGUUUUCUCAAUUAAUCUUUCAUACUGUAAAAGCAGUGUGUGCCAUUGUAACAAAUGACAUAAUCCAAAAAAAGCAUAUGGACAGAAAGUUUCUUCCUACACUUCCCAAUUUCUACUCCACUUACUCCACUUACAGUAACCAGUUUAACUGCCUGAGUUGUGUAUCACUCUAACUUUAUACUUAUAAAAACAUAGCUAGUUUGCUUUUUUGGUGUACUUUUUUAACAUGAAUUCUAACAUAUUACCAGACCAUUGCUUUAUUCACUUUACAGUGUAUUAUCUGGCCAGGUCAAUAGGCAGAGACCUAACUCAGUCUUUUAACAGCUAACUCCGUAGAAUAGAUGACCCUACUAUAGAACCACUUGUUCCAUUAUUGAUCAACAUGUAAAUUGAUCUAGGCUUUUAUCACAACCAAUAGCACAGCAAUAAACAUCCUUAUGUGCAUAUCUUUAUCAUAUAAUACUUUUAUAUCCACAAGGAGAUUUCCAGUGGUGGGACCACUGAAUCGCAGAUACUUCCUAUUUCAAUAUAUAUUGCAUACUUUUUAUCCAAAGGGUUGUAACAAUUCACUCCUCCAUCAAACACAUACUGAGGAUGUCUGUCUCCCAUGUUGUCAUCAGGUACUAGGUCCCACUCCAUGUCAGCAGCUGAAGGAGGGGCAUAUUUAAGUAUCCUCAGACUGUUUGGAUCAACAGUUUGGUUUCCAUAUUGAAUCUAUCCUUACUUAUUGAACUAUCUUCUUUCCAUGCUCAUUUCACUUCUCUGGAUUGCAAAGGUGAGGGCACCUGUAGGCAACCAGAUUCUUGGCAGUUCUUGAUGUGUUUUCUCCCACAAAUACAGUUCUUAAAGGCAACCAAACUCGUAGAAAGAUGCCUGUGAACCUAAAAUCCACAUUUGACACCUUGCCUGACUUCUCAUAGUCUGUGAACACACGGACUUCUUCGAAUACCCCUAAUGAAACCUAGAGUAGACGAGGGGUGAACAACACAGAUCUGGACAUCAGACAGACUGGAAUUCAGACUCCAUCACUUUUUGUCCUGUUGUGCAAUUAAACACUAUGGCCCUGUCUAUAAAAUGGCAACAACACAUCCUGUAUUUCAUAUUGCCUAUGCCUACUUUAAAUGGUAAAAUCUGCAUAAGUGCCUGGCAUAGUGCUUGGCAUUUAAUGAUUGUUACGUGACUGUUCACAAAAUUUGAUAUCUCCUUUGAAAUAUAAACCAUACAUACGUAAAUUAUUAGACAAACCCACUGCCAAAUGUUGUUUUCUUAAUGAGAAGAAACUUUUAUUAACUGGAAAUAAUUUUCCAGGAUAUCCUGAAGAUAAUGAGGAUUCUUUUUUUUUGCUUUCCUUUAUUCCAGUUGCUGGUUGAUGGCUUGUUUGGGGCCAAGUCCUGUGGUGUAGGCUAGGGCAGACACAAAGAAGGCUAAUCCUUAAUUUCAAUCCAGAAGAAGUUGAUGAUUUUACAGGACUUCAGCAAGUAUAAUCUAAUGUGUGAUGGUGUGGUGUACUUUAAAAGAAGAAACUGAAAGGAAUUAUGGAAGAAUUCUAAUAGGAGUGAUCAAGUCCCAGAGAGUUAGGAAAUGUUUUGCAGAUACCUGACCAUUUCAAGAUUGUUGCAUUUUUUAUGUCUAGGUACAUAUAAAUACACACACACACACACACACACACACACACCCUUUCUAAGAUUUUCUGUGAGAACUUUUAUUAUUUUUCUUUUGGAAAAAAUAUUUAUUUGAGGGAGAGAGAAAGAGAGAGUAUGAGUUGGGGGAAGGGCAGAGGGAGAAGCAGACUGAGCAGGGAUUCCCAAUGGGAUGUGCAGGGCUCCAUCCCAGGACCCUGAGAUCAUGACCUGAACCGAAGGCAGACGUGCUACCAGGUGGCCCAAUAUUUAUUUUUUUCCGAAGGGUGUUUUUUUGCUCAUUUUGGGGUAAAUACAUACAACGGAAUAUUAUUCAGCCUUCAAAAGGAAAUUCUGAUGCAGGCUACAAUACUACUGAAUCUUGAAGGCAUUAUGCUAAGUGCAAUAAGCCCAACACAAAAGAACAAAUACAGUGUGAUUCCACUUCUGUGACACACCAUUAAGUGGUGAAACUCAUAGAGACAGAAAGUAAAAGUGGUGGCCAGGGGCUGGGGGAGUAGGAAUGGGGAGUUAAUGUUCCAUGGUUACAGAAUUUCUGUUUGGAAAGAUAAAAAAAAAAUUCUGUAGAUGGAUGGUGGUGAUACUGCAAAACAGUAUGUGCUUAAUACCACUGAACUUUACACUUAAAAAUGGUUCAAAUGCAAAUUUUAUGUGAGGUAUAUUGUACCCAAUAAAAUAAAAGAAUAAAAAUUUUUGUUUUUAUUUGUAAAAACGAA